rnacentral:rRNA from 1 species
AACGAACGCUGGCGGCAGGCUUAACACAUGCAAGUCGAACGAGAUCUUCGGAUCUAGUGGCAGACGGGUGAGGAACACGUGGGAACAUCCCUUUCAGUUCGGAAUAACGUUGGGAAACUAACGCUAAUACCGGAUACGUCCUUCGGGAGAAAGAUUUAUCGCUGAAAGAUUGGCCCGCGUCUGAUUAGCUAGUUGGUGAGGUAACGGCUCACCAAGGCUACGAUCAGUAGCUGAUCUGAGAGGAUGAUCAGCCACAUUGGGACUGAGACACGGCCCAAACUCCUACGGGAGGCAGCAGUGGGGAAUAUUGGACAAUGGGCGCAAGCCUGAUCCAGCCAUGCCGCGUGAGUGAUGACGGCCUUCGGGUUGUAAAGCUCUUUUGUCCGGGAAGAUAAUGACUGUACCGGAAGAAUAAGCCCCGGCUAAAUACGUGCCAGCAGCCGCCGUAA